UACAGAGGGGGCAAGCGUUGUUCGGAAUUACUGGGCGUAAAGGGCGCGUAGGCGGCCUGUUAAGUCGGACGUGAAAUCCCUCGGCUCAACCGGGGAACUGCGUCCGAUACUGGCGGGCUUGAAUUCGGGAGAGGGAUGUGGAAUUCCCAGUGUAGCGGUGAAAUGCGUAGAUAUUGGGAGGAACACCAGUGGCGAAGGCGGCUCACUGGACCGGAACUGACGCUGAGGCGCGAAAGCGUGGGGAGCAAACAGGG
rnacentral:rRNA from 1 species